GCCCUGAUGAUGAAGCAAGAUAAAAGAAGGCCCUCAUAAUCCAUCAUCAGACAAUAGAAAGCAAGAGAAAAGGCGGCCUUGAUCUGCUCUGUACUUGCUAUAUCAUUGAUCUAUUGUUUUCCCGGAUUUCAAUACACCCAUCUUAAAGACGUUGAUAUUGCACUCGGAAAGACGUGUGUUGUGGGUUCUUUUGACAUCUUUACAUGUUUAUCUGCAGUCAUUAUAUAUCCUUAUAAGCUGGUGUUUUGCUAAAUAUCCAAGGCUGUUAGCCUGGGCCCUGAACAAAACUGGGUUCAUAACAAUCUGCUGGGACAGAGAUUACUAAAUGGAAAGUAGUCAAAAUGUUGGACAAAUUACCCGAGCUGAGAAGACAUGGUUGCACGGGCACCUAUACUGUUUGGGCCCAAUAAAUGUUGCAAGCCUUACAGAGUAUAAUGACGUUGGCCCAACUGAUUCUAGCAUGCAACGAUAUGGUCGGGGUCGUCUUGGAGAAUACCAGCCAGGUGCAUGACAAGACUCUUGCAGACUCUUGCAGCGACUACCAACGAUGGAAUGAUUUGGCUGCACGUGGAUGCAGAGAGAGAGUCUUGGAGACCCUUGUAGCGAUUGCCAAUGAUGGGAAUGACUUUACUGCAGGUGAAUUCAGGGAUCAUUCGAGAAGGAAAUGGUUAUUCAGUCCUUCGAAUGUACAAAAUACAUGAGUUAUUUUCAUGCAUCAUAAUUUAUGUAUUAGUGUAUCUUAGGGCUGGCUAAGUGUCUGAGAACACAUUCAGUGUCUAAGAAGAUCAGAUCCGUGUAGUGACCGCCAAUGAUGGAAUGAUUUGGGUGCCGUUAAAUUCUGGGAUUAUUGGAGAACGAAAUGACUAUCCAGCCCUUCCAAUGACCAAUUCAUAAGUUACUCUCAUGCAUCGUAACUUCUGCAUUAGUGCAUCAUAAGAAUUAGAUAACGUCUGAAGAUAUGGAAAUGGUUAUCCAGCUUUUCUGAUGUACCGAUACAUAAAUUACUCUCGGACAACAUAAAGACUAGAUAAUUCGACUGAGAAUAAUCCAGUACCUAGCAAGACCCUUUUAGCGACCGCCAACAAUGGGAAUGACUUGGCUACGGCAGGACAUGAAAGAUCUGCAUCUGUCAUCAUUGGCUAUAAUCAAGGAAGAAAAGAAUCAAUUGGUGUCACCUGAAUUGGAGUAGCCUGAGCUUGUGUUUGGGAGUCUACCUUGAUGUUAAAAUAGUUGUGUUUAUUUCAUAUUUACCCAUCCUACAGUUUAUCCGGUGUUGGGUUCUUCGCUGACUUCUGGUUAGGAAGGUCAAGAUCGGAGUGGGUGGUGCGGUCUGGUUCUGUUGUUUUAUUAGGAUGUGUGGGGCUGCUUUGGUUUCAUAUCCUGUUUUGGCUUUUUAACUUUUAUGUUACGAGGGCUAAUCGGACAUGUAUUUUUCGAACUCUGUAAAGAAGGCAGCUUUUCUAGAGUUUUGGUCCCACAGGAGUUCUUGUCCUUGUAAUGAUGGCAUUGUAGUUUCUGCUGUAUUUAAUAAAAGUACUUUUUU